UGACUGUGUCCCAUGUGCUGGGAGAAUGAGCAUGAGGAUUUUUGAAAAUGACGAACGAACAGUUUAAUUAUUAACGCGAAUCUUUUCUUUUGUUGUAUGAUCUUGAUAAUUUCUAAUUUCAAGUUGCUGUUAUGUUUUCUUCAUCUGUUGUCUUGGUGGUUAAGUUGGUUAUCCUAAAAUGUGAAGUGAUGUAGUUCGUUUUUGGGCAAGUAUCUCUUGCGACGAGGAGAAGCCCUAAGAUGGCUACAAAGAGGCAGGCAGCACUAAGUCAACUUGCCAGAAUGUAAAGUAAUAUCCCUAUCUACUAGCAGCUCUCUAGGAAAGUGAAGACUUACGGCGUAGCCAACGAUGUUAACUGCAAAGCAACGAAGGGCCUGCGCCAAGUGUGGACAUAGCAGCAGUAAAUGAACCCAGUCUUUCCAUCGAAUUCCUAAACCAGGAGGAGCCAAUACGGAAAAAUGCCGUCAGUGGGCAAGUUGGCUUUACCCACAAAGUAACUGGGAGUCUGAAUCUGAUCUACUGGCCCUGUACAAAAAGUCGAGAGUUGUUUGCUCAAGUCAUUUUACCGAAGCAGACUUUUCGGACAAUGUGCGACGAACACUGCGUAGAGCUGCUGUACCUCAUGUCACAUCCACGGAUAAAUCUGCCACUUCACUGAUUGCAACCAUUGAGCCACCGAGUUGUAUUGAUGCUGCAAGCUGUGGAUCUUCACAGCAGAAUGGAGAGAUCGGCAUAGAACUAGGGCCAUCCUCUGAAUCCAUCCUUGGUUAUGAAACCCAUACUUCUACGCUACCGCAAGAUACCAUCAUCAGCAACAUACCAUUUCUCCGCUUAGUAGAAUGACGUAACAUUUGAAAUUUAGUUUUGAUAAGGAGAUUGCUGAUUCUUGUUACCUACUUGUGUUCAGAAUUCAGUCAAGUGUUUGUACAUUUUUUUCCAUUCAGAAUUAAAUUACUUUCCAUUAAAA